rnacentral:tRNA from 1 species
GCCCAGGUGGUGGAAUUGGUAGACACGAGGGACUUAAAAUCCCUUGGCCGCAAGGCUGUGCGAGUUCGAUUCUCGCCCUGGGCACAA